rnacentral:tRNA from 1 species
GCCUCGAUAGCUCAGUUAGUAGAGCAGCAGUCUCGUAAACUGCAGGCCGGGGGUGCAAAUCCCUCUCGAGGCU